rnacentral:lncRNA from 1 species
CAUUCGUUUACGUAUAUUUAAAUUUAAUGAAAAAUUCUGCCAUGUCCUAAUGUUCAUCUGCAGAUGAUGAAGACUCUCCUGUCUUGGUGCAUAUCUUGAGUGGAGCUUUGGCAUUUACCAUCAUCCUGGUUGUUUUACUGGCUUAUACAACAUACAUAAUGUACAAGAGAAAGAGCACAGACCCUCAAGCAAGAUCCUCCUCUGCCCCGGCUCCCAGUGCAGAGGGUUACCAAGAUGCAGACAACCUCCAUUAUGCUUCUGUAAGGACGAACAAGGCCAACAGAUCAGCGAGGCAGAGAGACGACAGCUGUGUGUACUCCGGCGUGAGGCCGUAGAAGUGGACUGUUUCAUUUGUUCUCAAGAAAUGAUUUCACCUCCCGAUGCUGAAUGUAACGAUGCACCUUGCCGUGCACCAAUUAAACACGUUCCCUCAGCUACAGCUAGGCCACGUUUCUUUGAUGUGAUCGAGGUGCCAUGUUUCCACUCCUACACACUCGUAGUCAACAACGCACAAACACACAACCACACAUAACUGAUGUCAGAGGUGACUGUGGGCAAAGGUACUUGAUAGAGGAAAACGGACAUAAAAAUAAAGUUUGUAGCCAAUGUUAAAGGCUUCCUGUUUCCCCUUAACACAGCUCAUUUUAUUUGGUUGUUGUUCGUGGGCUACAAUUGGUAGCAUUGCAGCCUUUAAGCAUAUUUGAUUUGGACAUGACACAUUUGAGGCAUGGUAUCAUGCACAGCCUUCUCACAGCACGGUGAUGCAGAGACCCACCGACAUCUGAUGUUGCAUGCAAAGCCACUCCUUACAAGCCAAUCUCUCCAAUAUCGAGCGCCCACCACAAGUGACGUGUCGGUCUUUGUAACUUGUUUACUGUAAAUGUACUGAUUGCAUACCUUAAACCCAGAGGUGAGAGGAUCGAUUUUUUUGCCUCAGUGUGGUCGUCUGCCAAAGAUUAGCGCUCACUAUACUUCGGUCAUGUAUUUUUUGACUCACCACAGCUAUUUAUAUCUUUAUUGCUUCAAACUUAAGUUUGACAAAUAUUUAACAAAUAUUAUGAUUAGUUGAAGUCAUAAAAGCUAUAAGAGCUGAAUCGUCCCAAACUACUAAAAUAAUAACUAGUUACUCUAGAACAUUAUUGCAUAUGCACUCAGUUAUUUCAGUGCUUUGUGAAAAUCGUAUAAAGUGCAGUGUCAGAAACCCUCAGGACCAGCCAUGCUGGGGCAGUAAUGAGCUCACAUUAUUUUUAGACCUAACAUCUCACGUCCACCCACAGUAGUAUAGUAUGUCUACCUGACAGUCAGUUGUGCUAGCACAAAGGUUUUUCACUGACUCUUGUAUCAUACAAGCAGGGGCCAUGAAAUGUGUGUUUGGUAAGGAGUGUGGCAAAUGUAUUAAAAAAUCACUGUUAACAGCAAAAUUAGCCACAUGUGGGUUAUCU